rnacentral:lncRNA from 1 species
AUGGGCGCCUGGGGAGCCCGGGCAGGGACGCGCGCGGCGGGGAAGGGCGCGGCCCGCGCAGGACGGGACCGGGGAGAUGGGGGGCGGGUCCCGGAGGACUGGAGCGGAGGCGGCAGGGAUCCGUGUUUCCCAGGAGAGCACCUGGGUCCCCUGGAGGCGCGAUCUGGGAGUCUGAUUCCCCAAGACAGCAGGGUGGAGGGGCUUCGGCGGGCGGCGGGCGGGCGACUCCUGGGUGGCGUGGAGGCCUGGGCGCCUGCAGGUGCCAAGGUGGCAAUGGGACAGAGGGCUGAGGACACCGGGGACUUCGGCAGGAGCGGGCGGGGGAGACAGGGCUGGGAGGUGGGGCCGGGGCGCGGCGAUCCUGGACGGUGGCUCAAGGUCUGGGUCCCCGUCGGUGGCACCGGACUAAAGCACCAACUUUCAAAAUUUGGCAGAUUUCGCCCACACAUCUGGAAGAGAUAUUUUCUGACUGUCUGGGUUUACCCACAGUGGUGAGAACAAGUGAAACUUUGUAACUGGGGCUGGGGUCCCCAAGAAAUGCAUCAGAAGUAUGACUUCUUCUGCCUUUGGAUCUGACCCUGGAAUCUUAGGACCAGCGCUGCUGAGAAGAACAGAUUUGGUGGUGGUGGCUGAAGGGUGAGUGAUUAAUGCUGCGGUGCUGGAAGCUGGAGCCCUCCUGCUGGAGUCUGCCUUUCUCCAGGGAAAGGGGAUGGGUGUGCAAAGACAGCCACCCGGUCCCAAGGUCUAGGAGGCUGAGAGGGGAUUUCCAUGCGCCUCAGAAGCCAGAUCCUUUAUUUUAAGGAAGUAACUUACCAAGGUCAGUGCUGGGUUCAGCUCUUGAACUUGGGACAGUUUCUCACACACAGAGUUACAUCGACCCCAGCCUGGGCCCACAGGUACAAGGAGCCUCUCGACACACA